rnacentral:lncRNA from 1 species
ACGUGCAUUCAUAUCCUAUUCCUGUGCGUUUUCUGUUCCCGCGUUUUCAAAAUCCCGUGAAUCAAAAGGGCCCAGAGAGGCAGCGAGAACCCGACGACAACAACAACAUCAACAACAACAAUAACAAAAGACAUUUAAUAAGAAAGAAAACAAGAAGGAAAAGAAUUGGGAGGAAGAGAAAAAGAAAAGAAGGAAAAGCGGUCUGUCCGGAGAGUGGAGUCACCCGCAAGCUGCC